AGCAUGAGUAACUCGCAUGCUAAAAAAAUAUUGAUAAUAUCGAUUUCAACACGCCGCGGUGUUGUGUUCCCGGGCUUAUUACCCCCCGCUUGUCCCCUCAGAAAAGCCGUCCGCCCUAUGAGUGUUUUUUUCGUAAAAAAUGCCCAA
rnacentral:rRNA from 1 species